rnacentral:rRNA from 1 species
GUCUAAUACCGGAUACUGACCGGCCUGGGCAUCCAGGCGGGUCGAAAGCUCCGGCGGUGAAGGAUGAGCCCGCGGCCUAUCAGCUUGUUGGUGAGGUAACGGCUCACCAAGGCGACGACGGGUAGCCGGCCUGAGAGGGCGACCGGCCACACUGGGACUGAGACACGGCCCAGACUCCUACGGGAGGCAGCAGUGGGGAAUAUUGCACAAUGGGCGAAAGCCUGAUGCAGCGACGCCGCGUGAGGGAUGACGGCCUUCGGGUUGUAAACCUCUUUCAGCAGGGAAGAAGCGAAAGUGACGGUACCUGCAGAAGAAGCGCCGGCUAACUACGUGCCAGCAGCCGCGGUAAUACGUAGGGCGCAAGCGUUGUCCGGAAUUAUUGGGCGUAAAGAGCUCGUAGGCGGCUUGUCACGUCGGUUGUGAAAGCCCGGGGCUUAACCCCGGGUCUGCAGUCGAUACGGUCAGGCUAGAGUUCGGUAGGGGAGAUCGGAAUUCCUGGUGUAGCGGUGAAAUGCGCAGAUAUCAGGAGGAACACCGGUGGCGAAGGCGGAUCUCUGGGCCGAUACUGACGCUGAGGAGCGAAAGCGUGGGUAGCGAACAGGAUUAGAUACCCUGGUAGUCCACGCCGUAAACGGUGGGCACUAGGUGUGGGCAACAUUCCACGUUGUCCGUGCCGCAGUUAACGCAUUAAGUGCCCCGCCUGGGGAGUACGGCCGCAAGGCUAAAACUCAAAGGAA